GCAGGUAUUGUAUAAUGGUAUUACUCUAGCCUUCCAAGCUGGAAAUGCGGGUUCGAUUCCCGCUACCUGCUCCA
rnacentral:tRNA from 1 species